rnacentral:rRNA from 1 species
UUAAAUUGAAGAGUUUGAUCAUGGCUCAGAUUGAACGCUGGCGGCAGGCCUAACACAUGCAAGUCGAACGGUAACAGGAAACAGCUUGCUGUUUUGCUGACGAGUGGCGGACGGGUGAGUAAUGUCUGGGAAACUGCCUGAUGGAGGGGGAUAACUA